UACGUAGGGGGCGAGCGUUGUCCGGAUUUAUUGGGCGUAAAGAGCGUGUAGGCGGCCAGGUAGGUCUGCUGUGAAAACUCGAGGCUCAACCUCGAGACGUCGGCGGAAACCAUCUGGCUAGAGUCCGGAAGAGGAGAGUGGAAUUCCUGGUGUGAGCGGUGAAAUGCGCAGAUAUCAGGAAGAACACCCGUGGCGAAGGCGGCUCUCUGGGACGGUACUGACGCUGAGACGCGAAAGCGUGGGGAGCGAACAGG
rnacentral:rRNA from 1 species